UACAGUACAGGAUCGCACCUGGAGAGUUUCCAGUACUCUACCAGCCUCGACUAUGAGAGGGAGAGUCAAGCAGAGGCAUACCUAUUCCAUUCCUAGCUUGGCCAGUGGCUAGUGCGUGGAAGGCAAUCUGCUGCAAGU